rnacentral:lncRNA from 1 species
GUAUGUCACUGCAGGCACUGACAGAGAGUAGAUGGGAGGUGAAGAGAGGGAAAACACAGGUUGAGGAGACGUUAGUGAGUGUUUCAGAUAUAGAGUAUCUCACUGCAGGCACUGACAGAGAGUAGAUGGGAGGUGAAGAGAGGGAGAACAUUCCAAAAUCAAAUAUGCUAAAUAUGUGUAUGGAUUUGAUUUGACAAUAGUCCUGCUAUAGGUCUAGUACCGGAUGAGGAGGUGAGAUCUACUUACAGGAGUAGCAGUCAUCACUAUUGUGGAUGUCUUUCUGGUCUUCUCACCCAUAUAAAGGAGUGGUAUGGUGAUGCAUAUUAUCAAUGGCACUAUAUGAAAAUGUAUAUUUUACUAACCGUCAAGGCAGGGCAGGCCUAUUACUGGCAGAGAAAUUGCUUGCCUACCCGAACAUUACUUUAGUAGAUACACUACAUGACCAAAAGUUGGUCCCCCUUUGCUUCAUAUAACAGCCUCCACUCUUCUGGGAAGGUUUUCCACUAGAUGUUGGUACAUUGCUGCGUAGACUUGCUUCCACUUAGCCACAAGAGCAUUAGUGAGGUCGGGCACUGAUGUUGGGCGAUUAGGCCUGGCUUGCAGUCGGCGUUCCAAUUCAUCACAAACAUGUUUGAUGGAGUUGAGGUCAGGGAUCUUUGCAGGCCAGUCAAGUUCUUCCACAUCGAUCUCGACAAACCUUUUCUGUAUGGACCUCGCUUUGUGCACGGGGUUAUUGUCAUGUUGAAACAGGAAAAGUCCUUCCCCAAACUGUUGCCACGAAAGUAGAAGCACAGAAUCGUCUAGAAUGUCAUUGUAUGCUGUAGCGUUAAGAUGUCCCUUCACUAGAACUAAGGGUACUAGCCUGAACCAUGAAAAACAGCCCCAGACCAUUUGUAUUUGCCCUCAGGCCCCUACUCCACCACUAUCACAUAUCUACAGUACAAAAUCCAUGUGUACGUGUGUGUAUAGUGCAUAUGCUAUCGUGUGUGUGUAUGCAUGUGUCUGUGACUAUGUUUGUGUUACUUCACAUUCCCCGCUGUUCCCUAAGGUGUAUUUUUAUCUGUUUUUUAAAUCUAAUUUUACUACUUGCAUCAGUUACUUGAUGUGGAAUAGAGUUCCAUGUAGUCAUGGCUUUAUUUACAUUUACAUUUUAGUCAUUUAGCAGAUGCUCUUAUCCAGAGCGACUUACAGUAGUGAAUGCAUACAUUUCUGUGUGCCUCCCAUAGUCUGUUCUGGACUUGGGAACUGUGAAGAGACCUCUGGUGGCAUGUCCUGUGGGUUAUGCAUUUAGCCAGAAGAGAUUGAGCCACUUUGAGCCAGAAGAGAUUGACAUGCAUAGUAUUAAUAUUAGCUCUCUGUGCACAUUCAUGGGCCAGCCGUGCUGCCCUGUUCUGAGCCAAUGCUCAGAACUAAGUCCCUCUUUGUGGCACCUGACCACACGACUGAACAGUAGUACAGCUGUGACAAAACUAGGGCCUGUUGGACUUGCCUUGUUGAUAGUGUUGUUAAGAAGGUAGAGCAGCGCUUUAUUAUGGAAAUACUUCUCCCCAUCUUAGCUACUAUCAAUAUGUUUUGACCAUGACAGUUUACAUUCCUGGGUUACUCCAAGCAGUUUAGUCACCUCAACUUGCUCAAUUUCCACAUUAUUUAUCACAAGAUUUAGUUGAGGUUCAGGGUUUAGUGAAUGAUUUGUCCCAAAACAAUGCUUACAGUUUUAGAAAUAUUUAGGACUAACUUAUUCCUUGCCUCCCACUAUUAAACUAAUUGCAGCUCUUUGUUAAGUGGUGCAGUCAUUUCAGUCGCUGUGGUAGCUGACAUGUAUAGUGUUGAGUCAUCUCUAUACAUAGACAUACUGUCAUUAGUAAAGAUUGAAAAAAAGGGAGGGGCAUCGACAUCUGCCCUGGGGAAUUCCUGAUUCUACCAGGAUAUGUUGGAGAGGCUUCCAUUAAAGAACACCCUGUGUGUUCUGUUAGACAGGUAACUCUUUAUCCACAAUAUAGCAGGAGAUGUAAAGCCAUAGCACAUACGUUUUUCCAGCCUCAGACUAUGAUCAAUAAUGUUAAAAGCCGCACUGAAGUCUUAACAAAACAGCCCCCACAAUCUUUUCAUCAUCAAUUUCUCUCAGCCAAUCAUCAGUCAUUUGUACUGUGCAUGUUGAAUGUCCUUCCCUAUAAGCAUGCUGAAAGUUGGUAACAGACUGAUUGGUCGACUAGGGGUCUUUACUAUUCUUAGGUAACGGAAUGACUUUUGCUUCCCUCCAAGCCUGGGGGCACAUGCUUUCUAGUAGGCUAAAACAUUGGGCAAAUAGGAGUGGCAAUAACGUCCGCUUUUAUCCUCAGUAAUUUUCCAUCCAAGUUGUCAGACCCCGGUGUCUUGUCAUUGUUGAUAGACAACAAUACUUUUUUCACCUCUUCCAGACUGACUUUACAGAAUUCAAAAUUCCAAUGCUUGUCUUUAAUAAUUUGGUCAGAUAUACUUGGAUAUGUAGUGUCAGCGUUUGUUGCUGGCACGUCAUGCCUAAAUUUGCUAAUCUUGCCAAUGAACAAAAUCAUUAAAGUAGUUGGCAAUAUCGAUGGGUUUUGUGAUGAAUGAGCCAUCUGAUUCAAUGAAUGAUGGAGCUGAGUUUGCCUUUUUUCCCAAAAUUUAAUUGAAGGUGCUUUUUUUCCUUUUCAAAGCUUUUUACCACCAUUCUUUAUGUCAUUUAUCUUUGUUUCAUAGUGUAGUUUCUUAUUCUUUUUACUCAGGUUAGUCACAUGAUUUCUCAAUUUGCAAUACGUUUGCCAAUCGGUUGCGCAGCCAGACUUAUUUGCCAUUCCUUUUUCCUCCUCCACCAAACUUUACAGUUGGCACUAUGCAUUGAGGCAGGUAGCAUUCUCCUGGCAUCCGCCAAACCCAGAUUUGUCCGUCGGACUGCUAGAUGGUGAAGCGUGAUUCAUCACUCCAGAGAACGCGUUUUCACUGCUCCAGAGUCCAAUGGCGGAGAGCUUUAAACAACUCCAGCUGACGCUUGGCAUUGCGCAUGGCGAUCUUAGGCUUGAGUUUGAGUUUAUUUCAUUUUUACAGGGACAGUGCACAUUAAUCAACGUUUCAGUAAAAGUGCCGGUUUUAGCCAACCGGCUAAUUUUCAACCGCAGUCCCUGGGCAGGUUAUUAAAAACAAUUACAAUAUAGACAAUCAAUGAGCAGUGAGCACACGCAGAGCAACAUAGGACAAGCAAGAUGUAGCAUACAGACAGAGCAACAUAGAACAAAAAGCAACAAGACAAAACCCAUAAAAGCAACAGAGUGUUUCCACACCUCACAAGCUACAGACAACAGACAACAUGGAAAGUGGCAAUACACAGCUAGGGAUUAUGUUCACAAAUCUGAUUGACCUUUAGCCAUGUCUUCAUGCUUUUUGUGAAAGUGUGAUAGGUGGUGCAGUUAUGUGUGUCUGAUGGCAGUGUAUUCCAGACAUGGGAAGCUCUCACAGAGAAAGCAGAUUUACUAAAGGUGCUUUUCUUUAAGGGAACUAUACAGUCACCUCUCAUGGCAGACCUUGUGGAUCUGCUGCCAUAUGUUUGGGUUUUCUGUUUAACAAAAGUACUGAGUGGAGGGGGAGCCAGGCCAUUUAGGAUCUUGAAUACAAGACAUGCGUCGGUGUAUUGCACAAGAUUUUCCCAACUCAGGAGCUCAUGCUUUCUGAGGAUGUAACAGUGAUGAUGUCUAUUGGGCUUCCUAUCAAGCACUUUGAGAGCCUGUUUGUAUACAGACUGAAUGGGUUGUAAUGUUGUACAGCAAGCUUGGGCCCAACUAGUUAAGCAGUAUGUUAAGUGGGGGAGUAUCAUAGAUUUGAAGUACAGUUUUGCUACCUCUGUAGUCAAACAAUUUCGUAUAAAUCUGGAAAUUAGCGAGGUUGAAUUUGGUUAUUUGAAUUACCUUUUUCACCUGCUUUUUAAAAGAGAGGUUGGAAUCAAGUAUGAUGCCAAGGUACUUAAAAUCAGAUACCACCUGGAGCUUCUCCCCUGACACAUAGACAUCUGGCUCAGUAACAUCUGUUGCCCUCUUUCUGAAGAACAUGCAGACAGUUUUUUUCACAUUGAGAUGCAAACACGAGUCAUUGAGCCACUUUGUAACCUGGACCAUUACAGUAGUGAGUUCUUGUGCAGCUUGUUGUUUGCUCUUUGCACAUAUAUCACUGUAUCAUCUGCAUACAUUUGAACUUCAGACCCAGUACAGACAGAAGGCAGAUCAUUAAUGUACAGGCUGAACAGGAGGGGCUCCAGUAUUAACCCUUGGGGCACGCCCAUAUCAUAACUAAGAGUGGGUGACAGCUCAUUGCUCACUGACACACUGAAUUGUGCCUUCAAGGUAUGAUUUUCAUCCAUCUCAAGGCGUCAGGGGAAAAGUUGAACUUGGACAAUUUUGUGAUGAGAAUCUCAUGGUUAACAGCAUCACAAGCCUUCCUUAGGUCCAGAAACACAGCCCCAACAACGCCCCCUUUGUCCAUCUUGGACUUCACAUUUUCCAGAAGAAAGCAGUUGCCCGUUUCUGUGGAGCGUUUCGCUCUGAAGCCAAACUGCAUGGAGUGUAAUGUGAAGGGACUGUUGUUGAGGUGGGCAAUCAGUUGUUCUGCUACACACUUUUCAACAACCUUCGACACCACAGGUAGUAUACUAAUGGGCCUGUAGUUACUCACGCCAGCAGGGUCGCCCGAUUUAAAGAUGGCCGUUAUUAUGGCCGACUUCCAUACCCUUGGAAACACCCCCAGACCAAUAGAUGUGUUGGUGACCUUAGUAAUAGGUCACCAAUGAGUCACUCUUUGUAGUUUUUAAGAAAGGUAGAGUCCAGCCCAAACACAUCUUUGGCUUUAGUGAGCUAAUCACCUUGUUCACCUCAGCAUCAUUUACUAGCACUGAGCCCAAGAAACCAGUGGAGGGGUUCUGUGUCAGUACCUUGACAGAGUCAAUAAAGUAGGAAUUGAAGGCUAUUGCUAUUUCGACUGCAUCCUGUGUUAGAUUGUUAUUCACCAUGAUUUCUAGUCUUUUUGCAGUGUUACUAUGGUCUUUCCCUGUUAACUUUUUUAGAUUCUCCCAGAUCAAUUUAGAAUUUCCCUUUGCUUCACCAAUUAUGUUAAUAAAAAUGUUUGCC